CAGAUGUAAUAACACCACAGAUAAGACAUCCAGGCUUCCAAUUCACUCGGUGUCCAUCAGGCACUAUGCAGGCAGUCUCUCUGCUGGAGGGCAAACAAACAGAGUUAAACAUAGAAUUACCAUAUGACUCAGCAAUUCUAGUCCUAGGUAUAUACCCAGGAGAAUUGAAAACAUAGGUCCGUAAAGAAAGUUUAUAGAAGCAUUACUCAUAACAGACAAACAGCAGAUACAAGUCGAAUGUCCAUCAACAGAUGAAUAGAUUAACAAAUUGUGGUAUGUUCAUAAAAUGAAAUAUUAUUUAGCUAUAAAAGGGAAUGA
rnacentral:lncRNA from 1 species